GGCUGGAUAGCUCAGUCGGUUAGAGCGUGGUGCUAACAACGCUGAGGUCAUGGGUUCGAACCCCGCUCUGGCUG
rnacentral:tRNA from 1 species